GGUAGUCCACGCCGUAAACGAUGUCUACUUGGAGGUUGUGGCCUUGAGCCGUGGCUUUCGGAGCUAACGCGUUAAGUAGACCGCCUGGGGAGUACGGUCGCAAGAUUAAAACUCAAAUGAAUUGACGGGGGCCCGCACAAGCGGUGGAGCAUGUGGUUUAAUUCGAUGCAACGCGAAGAACCUUACCUACUCUUGACAUCCAGAGAACUCUCCAGAGAUGGAUUGGUGCCUUCGGGAACUCUGAGACAGGUGCUGCAUGGCUGUCGUCAGCUCGUGUUGUGAAAUGUUGGGUUAAGUCCCGCAACGAGCGCAACCCUUAUCCUUGUUUGCCAGCGAGUAAUGUCGGAAACUCCAGGGAGACUGCCGGUGAUAAACCGGAGGAAGGUGGGGACGACGUCAAGUCAUCAUGGCCCUUACGAGUGGGGCUACACACGUGCUACAAUGGCGCAUACAGAGGGCAGCCAACUUGCGAAAGUGAGCGAAUCCCAAAAAGUGCGUCGUAGUCCGGAUUGGAGUCUGCAACUCGACUCCAUGAAGUCGGAAUCGCUAGUAAUCGUGGAUCAGAAUGCCACGGUGAAUACGUUCCCGGGCCUUGUACACACCGCCCGUCACACCAUGGGAGUGGGCUGCAAGAGAAGUAGGUAGUUUAACCUUCGGGGGGACGCUUACCACUUU
rnacentral:rRNA from 1 species